CUGUACCUACGGGGCGCAGCAGUGAGGAAUAUUGGUCAAUGGGCUUACGCCUGAACCAGCCAAGUCGCGUGAGGGAAGACUGCCCUAUGGGUUGUAAACCUCUUUUGUCAGGGAGCAAUUGGCGCUACGUGUAGCGUUAUCGAGAGUACCUGACGAAAAAGCAUCGGCUAACUCCGUGCCAGCAGCCGCGGUAAUACGUAGGGGGCAAGCGUUAUCCGGAUUUACUGGGUGUAAAGGGAGCGUAGACGGCUGUGCAAGUCUGAAGU
rnacentral:rRNA from 1 species